CCUACGGGUGGCAGCAGGGAGGAAUAUGGGUCAAUGGGCGCGAGCCUGAACCAGCCAAGUAGCGUGAAGGAUGACUGCCCUACGGGUUGUAAACUUCUUUUAUAAAGGAAUAAAGUGAGGCACGUGUGCCUUUUUGUAUGUACCUUAUGAAUAAGGAUCGGCUAACUCCGUGCCAGCAGCCGCGGUAAUACGGAGGAUCCGAGCGUUAUCCGGAUUUAUUGGGUUUAAAGGGUGCGUAGAUGGGUUGUUAAGUCAGUUGUGAAAGUUUGCGGCUCAACCGUAAAAUUGCAAUUGAUACUGGCAGCCUUGAGUGCAGUUGAGGUAGGCGGAAUGCGUGGUGUAGCGGUGAAAUGCUUAGAUAUCACGAAGAACUCCGAUUGCGAAGGCAGCCUACUAGACUGCAACUGACGUUGAUGCUCGAAAGUGUGGGUAUCAAACAGGAUUAGAUACCCUAGUAGUC
rnacentral:rRNA from 1 species